AGGGCCAGAGGAGCCUGGAGUGGUCGGGUCGACUGAACCCAGGUUCCCUCUGGCCGCA
ensembl:miRNA MIR4726 microRNA 4726